AGUCCUGUACGUGCGAAUCCAAGGACAUGAUUUGCCCGACUGCUCUGGGGGGAGGCUCGCAAGGCCAGCAUCAAGGCGUCAGCAAAGCUGCAUUCCUCGCUGGAGGCUCUUGGGACAUGUUCACCUCGGAGUUCAUUCAGGCUGUUCCCUGGAUUCAGUUCUUUGUGCUGGUAAUAUAGUUGAUUUUCAAUACAAAACUACAACCAACGCAUCCAGAACUUGAAGUCACAUUCAGUCUUUAGCCUCCAACGUUUCCCAUUCUCAGCAGAAGUGCAUCCGCUUGUUGGAGAGUCUUCCACCAGGAGCUCUUGGAAACUACAGGAUCUGACCAUGGAGGGCCCCCAGGGACUGACAUCUUACACAGGGUGCUGUAUGACAGUAGCACUUAGGCUCGAGGCUGCCAUUGCUGUUCGACAUAGAAGAGAAUUAGAAGCCUCAGACAGAACUCUUUUCUAAACAAAAAGGCAGCAUUCUGAAUGUCUUCAAACCAUUUCUGUAGGUAAUUUUUAUUUUUUCAAGCAAGUAUUCAUUCAGGAAGGGAGUCUCUCAUUCUCUCUGAGUUUAUCCCCUGUUGUUUCGGUCUUGUGACUUGUUUUAUCCUUGCUCUUCUUUCUCUUAAAAGUGUUACCAAAACUGUGUUAGUGAUUUCAAUCCUGAAAUGGUUGUGUUAUCCUGGCAUCCUGUAGAAAGUAUGUAUUAAAGAUUUGCUCUUCAUCUAAAUAUUGCAACCUUUUAAGUAUGUGUUUAAAAAAAAGACAAAAGCAGAUGUAGAUUUCCUUGUCAGGCCAGAAUCUAAAGCACUGGCAUCUAAUAUUCAAAAGCAAAAUCUAUCUAUUUAUAUACUUGCUUCUUGACAGAGUUAUGAAAAAAUAUGUGUAGAGUUGGUAGGAGAGGGCAGUAUGAAAGAGGAAAAACACCUACAUCCAAUAAAAUAUAUCAGAAGGUAACUGCUUAGUAGGACAACACAGAAAGGUAUACAAAGCCAUGGAAAGGAAUAUUUAGGAGAUCUAGGUUUUUUCCCCAAGAAAAUGGAAUUUUAAUUCUUGAACAUUAAAAACCUGGUUGAUCUCAUAUUCUUUCUGAAAAAUCUCCCUACAAAGUAGUGUUUCUAAACAUACAACUGAUGUCAUUUUAAUUGAUAUAUUAUCCUGAAUGCAAACAUGAAGUUGCUGGGUAAGGCAGAUUUUAU
rnacentral:lncRNA from 1 species